rnacentral:rRNA from 1 species
GACAGAGGAGGCUAGCGUUGUUCGGAAUCACUGGGCUUAAAGCGCGUGUAGGCGGCUCGUCAAGUGCCUUGUGAAAUCCCCCGGCUCAACCGGGGAACUGCUGGGCAUACUGUCGGGCUUGAGGCAGGUAGGGGUCACUGGAACUCCAGGUGGAGCGGUGAAAUGCGUAGAUAUUUAGAGGAACGCCCGAGGCGAAAGCGGGUGACUGGGCCUGUCCUGACGCUGAGACGCGAAAGCGUGGGGAGCAAACGGG